rnacentral:rRNA from 4 species
UUGGGAAGUCCUCGUGUUGCACCCCU